rnacentral:rRNA from 1 species
UACGUAGGGGGCAAGCGUUGUCCGGAUUUAUUGGGCGUAAAGAGCGUGUAGGCGGCUUGGUAGGUCCGCUGUGAAAACUCGAGGCUCAACCUCGAGACGUCGGUUGAAACCGUAUGGCUAGAGUCCGGAAGAGGAGAGUGGAAUUCCCGGUGUAGCGGUGAAAUGACGCAGAUAUCGGGAAGAACACCCGUGGCGAAGGCGGCUCUCUGGGACGGUACUGACGCUGAGACGCGAAAGCGUGGGGAGCGAACAGG